rnacentral:rRNA from 1 species
UAAAGUGGCGCACGGGUGAGUAACGCGUGGGUAAUCUACCCUCGAAUCGGGGAUAACAUUGCGAAAGCGAUGCUAAUACCGGAUAACAUCCUUUGAACUUCGGUUCUUUGGAUCAAGGGUGGCCUCUACAUGUAAGCUACUGUUUGAAGAUGAGCCCGCGUACCAUUAGCUUGUUGGUAGGGUAACGGCCUACCAAGGCUCCGAUGGUUAGCUGGUCUGAGAGGAUGAUCAGCCACACUGGAACUGACACACGGUCCAGACUCCUACGGGAGGCAGCAGUGAGGAAUUUUGCGCAAUGGGGGAAACCCUGACGCAGCAACGCCGCGUGAGUGAUGAAGGCUUUCGGGUCGUAAAGCUCUGUCAAGUGGGAAGAAACUAUCCUGUGCCAAUACCACGGGAUACUGACGGUACCACUGAAGGAAGCACCGGCUAACUCCGUGCCAGCAGCCGCGGUAAUACGGGGGGUGCAAGCGUUAUUCGGAAUCAUUGGGCGUAAAGGGCGCGCAGGCGGUCUCAUAAGUCA